CAUGGGCUCCCUAUUUUUGCUGUAUCAGACCCUGGGAUUACUAUAUUUUGUAACUUUAUUUACAGUGUUCUUCUGAAUAACAUCUAAAUAGCCCACGUCUGAACACCAG